GCACAAGCGGUGGAGCAUGUGGUUAAUUCGAAGCAACGCGAAGAACCUUACAGGUCUUGACAUCCCGAUGCUAUUUCUAGAGAUAGAAAGUUACUUCGGUACAUCGGUGACAGGUGGUGCAUGGUUGUCGUCAGCUCGUGUCGUGAGAUGUUGGGUUAAGUCCCGCAACGAGCGCAACCCCUAUUGUUAGUUGCCAUCAUUCAGUUGGGCACUCUAGCGAGACUGCCGGUAAUAAACCGGAGGAAGUGGGGAUGACGUCAAAUCAUCAUGCCCCUUAUGACCUGGGCUACACACGUGCUACAAUGGUUGGUACAACGAGUUGCGAGUCGGUGACGGCGAGCUAAUCUCUUAAAGCCAAUCUCAGUUCGGAUUGUAGGCUGCAACUCGCCUACAUGAAGUCGGAAUCGCUAGUAAUCGCGGAUCAGCACGCCGCGGUGAAUACGUUCCCGGGCCUU
rnacentral:rRNA from 1 species